rnacentral:rRNA from 1 species
UACGAAGGGGGCUAGCGUUGUUCGGAAUUACUGGGCGUAAAGCGCGCGCAGGCGGUCUUCCAAGUCAGUGGUGAAAGCCUGGAGCUCAACUCCAGAACUGCCAUUGAAACUGUUAGACUUGAGUACGAGAGAGGCGAGUGGAAUUCCCAGUGUAGAGGUGAAAUUCGUAGAUAUUGGGAAGAACACCAGUGGCGAAGGCGGCUCACUGGCUCGUAACUGACGCUCAGGCGCGACAGCGUGGGGAUCAAACAGG